rnacentral:rRNA from 1 species
UACGUAGGGUGCAAGCGUUGUCCGGAAUUAUUGGGCGUAAAGAGCUCGUAGGCGGUUUGUUGCGUCGGCUGUGAAAUCCCGAGGCUCAACCUCGGGUCUGCAGUCGAUACGAGCAAACUAGAGUGUUGCAGGGGAGACUGGAAUUCCUGGUGAUAGCGGUGAAAUGCGCAGAUAUCGGGAGGAACACCUAUGGGCGAAGGCAGCUCGCUGGGACGUUACUGACGCUGGAGAACGCGAAAGCGUGGGGAGCAAACAGG